rnacentral:rRNA from 1 species
GACGAACGCUGGCGGCGUGCCUAAUACAUGCAAGUAGAACGCUGAAGCGAGGAGCUUGCUCUUCUUGGAUGAGUUGCGAACGGGUGAGUAACGCGUAGGUAACCUGCCUUGUAGCGGGGGAUAACUAUUGGAAACGAUAGCUAAUACGGCAUAACAAUGGAUGACACAUGUCAUUUAUUUGAAAGGGGCAAUUGCUCCACUACAAGAUGGACCUGCGUUGUAUUAGCUAGUAGGUGAGGUAAUGGCUCACCUAGGCGACGAUACAUAGCCGACCUGAGAGGGUGAUCGGCCACACUGGGACUGAGACACGGCCCAGACUCCUACGGGAGGCAGCAGGAGGGAAUCUUCGGCAAUGGGGGCAACCCUGACCGAGCAACGCCGCGUGAGUGAAGAAGGGUUUCGGAUCGUAAAGCUCUGUUGUAAGUCAAGAACGGGUGUGAGAGUGGAAAGUUCACACUGUGACGGUAGCUUACCAGAAAGGGACGGCUAACUACGUG